rnacentral:lncRNA from 10 species
GUGGGAGGGAUGGUGUAAUGGAGGACCUGGCAGCCAUCUGAGGGGCACAAGGACUGGGAGAGGCAAGGGUGACAGAUGGGCUGUGCUCUUGUAUGACAGGUUGGGACCAUAUCCCUAAGGUAAGGGGAAGCCACUGACAGAUUUUUGUCAAAGGGAGGUAGAUAAUUAGAUUGACCUUUCAGAGAAGUCAUUCCUGUGCCACUGCAUGCAGGAUGGUUUAAGGUACAUGGCUGUGCUUUGGUCUAGGAUAGGCCAAGGUGGACAUCCGGGCCAGAGGGACUCAGUGAGUUUAGAGCACAGGUGUAUAACUCCACUUGUGAUCACAGCCAUGUAGCCAUAACACGGAAGGCCAUCACUUGGCUCUAAGCCACUAUUGUCUGUAAAAGGUAUAAUUGCCCUGUUGACACUGUACAGGAGCUCAUGCCCAGAGAAAGAGUUAAGCUGCUGACCCUGAAGGCAAGUGAGAGCUGGCCACACAGCUGUGCGCGGGAGCGACUGGCUCAAGCAGCUGAGACAGAAGAGACAGCGUAAGAGAGCUGCUGAUGAAAGAGCUGCUAAUGAGACAGCUGCUGAUGAGAGCGCCCGCUGAACAAAAUCAUCUUUCACCUACCUACGGCCCCCUACGUGUUCUUUCAGAAAGAAUUGGCACAUCUGAAGCCUGAUGAAUAAUCAAGACCUGGGAUGGCAAACAGGAUUCAUCUUAAGAACCAACUCCAACUGACUGACGUCUGAGGUCACCUCUUGGUGCAGAGAGAAAGCUCUCAGAAUUGAUGGGUAAAGUCUGGCAUGGGCGUCUUGAGGGGAUUGGCAACAAAAGGCCCUCAUACUGGUUGAUCCUGACAGUUUUUCCCAGCCUGAACACCCUCACUUCCCUGAUAGCUAUUUAGUCAAAUAUCCCUAGGGGCACAAACUUCCUGAAUCUAGUUUUUAAAUAUUAGUGUUUUAAAUGCAAAGAGCAUAACAAACUAGUUAUGAAGAGAAAAGAAACAGUAAUCACUCAGAGUCCCUCAUGCACUGAAAUCAGGCUUCACCUCAAUAUGUACUUACAAUUUUAAAAUCUGAAAACAGACACAGUAGUGGAAUCCCUGGGCUUACUUAGAUGUUUUCAUAGAAUGGAAAAAGUGAAGAAGGCCCCUAACUGUUUCCUAGGGCUGCCUUAAUAAAAUCCCACAAACUGGGUGGCUUAAAACAACAGAAAUGUAUUGUCUCACCUUCCAGACAGAGGUCUGUAAUCGAACAGUCAGCAGGGCUAUGCUGCCUCUGAAUCCUGGAGGGGAACCCUCCCUUGCCUUUUUAGCUGCUGGUGGUUUGCCAGCGAUCUUUGGCUUUCUUUGGCUUGCAGCUGCAUAACUCAGUCUCUGCCUCCAUCUUCAGAUGGCAUUGUCUGUGUCUGUCUUCCAUGGUUGACUUCUUAUAAGGACACCAAUCAAAGUGGAUUGGGGUCCACCCUACUCCAAUACCUCCACCCUACUCCAGUACCUCAUCUUAACUGAUUACACUGGCAAUGGCCUUAUUUCCAAAUGAGGUCCAUUUUGAGGUAUGGGAGGCUAGGACUUCAAUAUAUCUUUUAGGGGGUAGGGAGAUACAAUUCUACCUGUAAGAGACCCUACACCAAAGAACGGUCUGGCUAUGGGAUCUUCAGCUAAUGGGGGCUAAGAAAGACUUACAGGCCAGUUGCUAACACAUCACAAACCAACAUCUGGUGUUGCUGCAUCAGGGAAGGACUUGCAAAAACAUGGACUGAGCUAAAAUAGACUGCCUGUGGAUGACACAAACAUUCUGGAUAACAUGUAACAAGGAGACAAUGCAGCCAAGCUUCGAGGAAAGGAAGGGUCAUUUCUAGAGGUUGUAAAUGAAGAGGGAACUAGAAAUGAGAGUGGUAAAGAAGUACCAGACCCUGGCAGAGAGAUGCUGGGCUUCCCAUCCCCAAGCACGGACAGAGGACGUACUUAUGAGUGAGCUGGGAAGCUGCAACUGAAAUGUCUGCACAAAGCUAGCAAUGGCUGCCCUUUCCACAUAGAGUGGACAAAAAAAAAAUCCACCCACCAGUUCAAGAAGCUAUAAGAAAGCUUGUUACCCACUUGGAUACUGGGUGCAACAACUAUGGACACAAUCUCUAGCAGUACACCCAAAGUUGAAGCCUUUAUCACAUAGAAGUGUGGAGUCAUACCUUAUACAAUCCCCCAUAGUCAUACCACCUACGUGAUGUGGAAAUCCUAAACUGACAAGCUGUAGAAAAGCUGGUCGAGGACCAGUGAAAUGAGCCAAAGAAAAUUCCUAACUACUCUGUGAUGUCACAUCCACAUUUUAGGUGCACGAGACUCCCACAGACACAACCACACUCACAAACAUGAGCUUACAAUAAACAAUUACAACCCACAGGAGGAAACAUCAUCUCUCUUUGAUGCCUGCCGGACUUGCAGGAGAGGCUCCUCAAGGGUUCCUUUCUUUAACUGUUGGUUCUAUAGUAAACCGCUGUCUGCCUCCAUAAAUAACAGCAACUGCACUCCACACGAGUUAUACCACCCCGUCCCGAGUCUUCCUGAGACAGCAGACCCCAAAUUGCCCCCAGGAAAGAGAAGAUAAUACAUAACACUUUACUGCUGAGAACAUAGUCCCCACUGUCCCCAGGAUUCUAAGAUUUAUUGGCUCUUAUUUUCUAUGAACAUAGCAGGAAUCAACCAAUGUCAUCCAGUCGGCAUCUUCAGCUGCCUUCACCUGAGGAUAUUCGCGGCGGCUUUCCUUUCUUGGGGAAGAAGGUCUGGGUCUCGCAAAACUUCUUCUAGCAAAUUUAGGACAUUCAUCUUUAGUUCAUUGUUGAGUUCGAAAUCCUGUAAAAUAAAAUGAAUCUUUUUAAAUUUUAGCUUUGAAAGGGUUAGCUCUAUGACACAUGACACCAUUCUCCAUGAUAAAUUCUCUAGAAGCUAGGUAUGGAAAUUAAAAUGUAUGGACCCUAGAGUUCCCUGCCACACCUAGGGUCCCGAUUUAAUUGGUUAGGAAUGGUGGUCUGUUAUUGGUAGUUCUGACAGGCUCCCCUGGGGGCUCCCCAGGGGGUGCAAAUGUGCAGUCAGUGUUGAGAACAACUGCCUCUAGGAACAGCCAUUGGGAAGGGUCCUUAACAGAGCUUACGAGGCCCUGGCCCACCCCUCCAGCCUCUUCUCUCACACUGCUUGCAUCCCUGUGGCCUGCAACACGUACCACGCCCCCAACACACACCACGCCCCCAACACACUCACACUGUCCUAGACUUAACAAAUGCCUUCAGUUCCUCAAGAGAUAUGUGCUUCUCAUAGCCUGGAACACUAUGCCGCCUCCAUACAUGUAUUUCUAUUCAUAUUUUGGGCCUAGGAGAUGAUAUGCACUCUCCCUGGAGUCUUCUUAAUUCACCCAGUGGGAUUGGGAGCUUUUCUUUGUGCACCCACGGCACACGUAACUCACGGCUGUCAACUCCCUGUAUUCCAUUGAAAGGGCCAAUUUAAUUGCCUGGCUUUUUUCUGGACCAUGAGUAAGAUCAGUAACUGUGACAUACCAGUAUCUCAAAGAAUAUUUGCUGCAAGAAUAAAAUCUGUCAUUUAAGCAGUAACUUGAAUGAAAAUAUGCUAAGGCUAUCAAUAUCUAUAUCUACAUCAAUAUAGAUAUGCUAAGAGCUAAAGAAUGACACAGACUAAUGGGGCCACAUCGAAUGAACAUAGAAGUGAGAUUGAAGAGGCACCCACUGGGGAAAGUUGGGACAAUAUGAGCAUCAAAAUGAAUAAUGAGAGUAAUAAGCAAUAACCAGUUUAAUAAGAAGAACCUGUAAGUCCCUAUCGAUAUUGAUGCUCACAAAGACAGACAGAUUUUAAAAAGGUAGAAAAUAAAACUAUUCUUCUUCUUUUUUUUUUUUUUUUUAAAUCACAGGGUCUCUCUCUGUCACCCAGGCUGGAGUGCAGUGGUGUGAUCAUAGCUCACUGCAGCCUCAAAUUCCUGGGCUCAAGGGGGUCCCCCACCUCAGCCUCCCAAGUAGCUGGGACUACAGGUGUGUGCCACCAUGCCCAGCCAAUUUUUAAAUUUUUUGUAGAGACAGGGUCUUGCCAUGUUGCCCAGGCUGGUCUCAAGCUCCUGGGCUCAAGUGACCCUCCCAUCUCAGCCUCCCGAAGUGCUGGGAUUACGACCGUGAGCCACUGCACCCAGCCUAAAGCUAUUCUUUAUAGUAGAAUUCCAAAUAGUAGAUGCAAAGAAAUAAAUGAGUUAGAAAAUCACCAUUUUCUUUUUUUUUUUUUUUUUGAGAUGGAGUCUCACUCUGUCACCCGGGCUGGAGUGCAGUGACGUGAUCUCGGCUCACUGCAACCUCCGCUUCCCGGGUUCAAGUGAUUCUCCUGUCUCAGCCUCCUGAGCAGCUGGGAUUACAGGUGUGUGCCACCACGCCUGGCUAAUUUUUGGAUUUUUAGUAGAUACAGGGUUUCACCAUGUUGGCCAGGCUGGUCUCAAACUCCUAACCUCAAGUAACCUGCCUGCCUUGGCCUCCCAAAGUGCUGGGAGCCACCGCACAGGCAUGAGACACUGCACCCGGCAAAAAAUCACCAUUUUCAACCAAAGCAGUAAUCACUGAUUCAGGCAAGGAUCAUGACUGAAUGCUAAAAUGGUUGAAUGAAGUGUAUUAGAGAACAGAAUUAACAGUGUCAGAGUACACCUCAGAGAUUACUUAUUAAUUACAAAGGGAGAAUCUGGCAGAUAACACCUUACCCCAAGUGAUCAAAGUUACCAUCCCCCAUGAUGGAAGAAACCAACAUCAUAUGUCUACUAAUGUAAUGCUCUGUAAUGUAAUACAUCCUUAGUAUUUCUGCCUAAAAUGCAUAAAUUGAUCUAAUUUUGAAGAAGCAUUGGCCUGUACUCUUCAGAAAUGUCAGUGUCAUAAACAACAGAGACAAACUGAGGAACUCUUCCAGCUCAAAGGACACCAAAGGGAUAACAGCUAAAUGCAACCUGUGAACCUGGAGUCAAGAGGCGAAUGCUUUAAAAGGGCAUUACUAUGACAACUGGCAAAAAUGGAAUCAGGACUAUGCACUAGUAGAGAGCAUUCUGCCAAUCUGAAAUUUUCCUGAAUUUGAUCAUUUUACUGUUGGCUGUCUAAGAGCAGGUUCUUCACUUAUACACUAUUGGUGGGAAUGCAAAUUAGUUCAGUCCCUGUGGAAAGCAGUUUGGAGAUUUCUCAAAGAACUAAAAAUAGAACUACCAUUUGACUCAGCAAUCCCUGGGUAUAUACCCAAAGGAAAAUAAAUUGCUCUACCAAAAAGAGACAUAUACUUGCAUGUUCAUUGCUGCAUUAUUCAUAAUAGCAAAGACACAGAAUCAACCUAGGUGCCCAUCAACGGUGCAUUAGAUAAAGAAAAUGCGGUAUACAUACACCAUGGAAUACUAUGCAGCCUUAAAAAACGAAAUCAUGGGCCAGGUGCGGUGGCUCACGCCUGUAAUCCCAGCAUUUUGGGAGGCUGAGGCGGGCGGAUCAUGAGGUCAGGAGAUCGAGACCAUCCUGGCUAACAC